UGAGCAGAGCCCAUGAAAAAGCUAUCCAUACCCCUACAGUCAUUCAGCUUUCUUGCUAUUUAGAAGUGGUUGCGCAUUAGUUGAAGAAGAAUUGCUAUUGUAUGCGCUUGUUUGCACUUCCUUUCCUGAAAAUGCCUACAAUAUUAAGGCUAAAUAGCAGAGAAAUAUGACCCAAUAAUCCAUGCGAUUGAAAAUGUCUGUCAAAUUAAUUUUAAAAAUCAUGAUUUGAGGAAUUAUAUCUAUCAGGCAAC